AUUGAACGCUGGCGGCAUGCUUUACACAUGCAAGUCGAACGGCAGCGCGGGCUUCGGCCUGGCGGCGAGUGGCGAACGGGUGAGUAAUACAUCGGAACUUGCCCAGUAGUGGGGGAUAGCUCGGCGAAAGCCGGAUUAAUACCGCAUACGACCUGAGGGUGAAAGCGGGGGAUCUUCGGACCUCUCGCUAUUGGAGCGGCCGAUGGCAGAUUAGCUAGUUGGUGGGGUAAAGGCCUACCAAGGCGACGAUCUGUAGCUGGUCUGAGAGGACGACCAGCCACACUGGGAGUGAGACACGGCCCAGACUCCUACGGGGGGACGCAGUGGGGACUUUUAGACAAGGGGGGAAAGCCUAAUCCAGCAAUGCCGGGUGUGUGAUGAAGGCCUUCGGGUUGUAAAGCACUUUUGGCGGGAACGAAAAGGACUGUGCCAAUACCACGGUUCGAUGACGGUACCCGAAGAAUAAGCACCGGCUAACUACGUG
rnacentral:rRNA from 1 species